CCGACUUGAGCUCAGUUGGAAGAGCAUCAGACUGUAAUUGUAAACCUUGCCGUUGGCUAUCUGAGGGUCCCCUGCUCGUACCAGGGAAGUCGGA